GACAGAGGUUGGCAAGCGUUGUUCGGAAUCACGUGGGCGUAAAGGGCGCGUAGGCGGUCCCAUAUGUCUGACGUGAAAUCCCCCGGACUUAACUGGGGAAGUGCAUCAGAAACUAUGGAGCUGGAGUGCAGAAGAGGAUAGCGGAAUUCCCGGAAGUAGAGGUGAAAUUCGUAGAUACCGGGAGGAACACCUGAGGCGAAGGCGGCUAUCUGGUCUGUAACUGACGCUGAAGCGACGGAAAGCACGGGGAGCAAACAGG
rnacentral:rRNA from 1 species